rnacentral:rRNA from 1 species
UACGAAGGGGGCUAGCGCUGUUCGGAUUUACUGGGCGUAAAGCGCACGUAGGCGGAUUGUUAAGUCAGGGGUGAAAUCCUGGAGCUCAACUCCAGAACUGCCUUUGAUACUGGCGAUCUCGAGUCCGGGAGAGGUGAGUGGAACUGCGAGUGUAGAGGUGAAAUUCGUAGAUAUUCGCAAGAACACCAGUGGCGAAGGCGGCUCACUGGCCCGGUACUGACGCUGAGGUGCGAAAGCGUGGGGAGCAAACAGG